rnacentral:misc_RNA from 1 species
GCAGAAGUCGCAAAAAAGGGAAAACAGGAAGCCAUGCCUUGGUCUCCAGCAAACUCCACUCAGCUUCAAAAUAUUCACACAGAUACAGUCUUCGUCUUCUAAAAGACAACCUUAAUUUCAAGCUCUCUCAGUCGCUUCUCAGCCAACACGCAUUCACUUCUUCCAAAUCCCAACUGGGUUUUCCUUUUUCUUCUCCAAAACCAAAUGGCUCAUUCAAGAUUCCCAUCUUCUUAAACCCUCCAACCAUCUCAUCAGAAUGAUAAAUGGUUGUUGUGAUGAUGAUGCAGCCACCGCCGCUGACCUCCUCUGGACUACCGUCACAGCCCAAUUCUUCCACCCUUAGAUCCCCCACAACCCCUACUCAAUCGCCUCUUUCUCUUGCUCCACAUUCCAUUUCUCACCGCCAACCGCUGCCAUCGCUGUCUGCCGAUCAUGUAAUCGCUCCGCCCAUCACUGCUGUGCAACAGUCCGGUGAGCCAGUGCUGAUGCUUGCAAGGGUCAGGCUAUCUGAUAUAGCACCGUUUGAUGGGGCUCCGGCUGGACCUUACAUGAAGGCGGUAGAGGCGCUUUCUGGGUCCUUGAUGAGGCAUAAUGCGGUGGUUAUUGAAUUGGGCAGUGAGGACGCGGCGCUCAUGAGAUGUGGGUUGGAAGCGGCGCGCAUGUUUUUUAGGACUCGGGUUCAGAGCGGUGGCAGUAAGGGAGGCAGCCGUGGGUUAUACAUGUACAGGGCUGGAAGGGCUUUGGAAGAUUGUGAUUCUUCUCCUCCAUGCAUGGCAGAAAUAUUUAGAUGCAUGGGAAAGGCAGCUCGUGCUGCUCUGUGUGCAAUAGCAAGGCAUCUUCGUUUGCGAAGCGAUGUUUUCAAUCAUUUACUUGAUGAUACCCCCUUACCUGCAAAUGAGGUGUCCUCGUCAGUGCUUCUUGCAACCUAUUCCCAUGUGUCGUUGCAAAAUGGAAAGGGGGCUAUUGGAGGAGGGAAGCCAACAGUUAAUGGUGAAGUUGAGAAGGGAUUGUUAACGCUGGUUUCUUCAGAUAAUCCUGGUCUACAGGUUUGUGACCCCAAUGGUCGAUGGUACCUGGCAGAUUGUGGUUCAGCUCCUGGGGAUCUUUUACUGAUUACUGGCAAGGCACUUAGCCAUGCUACUGCUGGCCUUCGUCCUGCUGUGUCAUAUAGAGCUGCACCUGAUUACUCAUCUGGCACUAACAGUGGUGGGAGGACAUCAUUGGCAUUUAGGCUUAUGCCACAGGGUAAUGCCGUAUUAGAUUGUUCUCCGAUUGCAGCAGCUGGUCAUGUUAUUCCUCAAAGCUAUGUGCCAAUAUCUGUAAGCCAGUUUAUGGAUGACCUUUCUGCUGAGGAGGAUGUAAUGUGCAAUCGACCUGAUAAUAACUAUGUUGCUCAUUAUAACUUUAAUAAAGAACCAUCAUUAAGAAGUGUUCUCUCAGAUCCAUUAUCCGGUGCGUUUCUUGAAGAUGCGGUGUUUGUUUCAUGCGGACACUCCUUUGGUGGUCUCAUGCUAAGAAGAGUCCUUGAAACGUCAAGAUGUACCCUUUGCAAUGCAGAAAUUGAGCCUGGGUCUUUGAUUCCUAAUUUUGCUUUGAGAGCUGCAGCUGCAGCUAUAAAGCAGGAGGAUAAUCGUAGGCUAUUUCAUAAUGCAGCUCUUCGGAAGCGUCGCAAAGAAAUGGGUGACCAAACAGAUUCCAUGAGAAGACCAAGCAGGGUAUGGUUGAAAUAAGUGCCUUACAUUUUUAUUUUUUGGAUGCCUUGUCCCUUGCAUGCACCUUCGCAAACUACUUGGCUACUUAUUUCGGAUGCAGACAUGGGGAACACAAGGAGAAUGGAGAUGUUGCUGCUGACAAUGGUUUGCAUAAGGGGGUGCAGUAUCCUUUUUCUGUCAAUGAGAAAGUAGUAAUUAAGGGAAAUAGGAGGACGCCGGAAAAAUUUGUUGGAAAGGAAGCAAUUAUCACCUCGCAGUGUCGCAAUGGCUGGUGAGUUCAGGGCUCAUUCUUUCGCUUAUUAAACAAGCAGCUCUUGGAUAAAUCAUCCUACUGAUAAAAGUUACGAUGUAAAAUAAUUUAAAUAUUGCAAUAACUGGGAUGUAUUUUUAAACACAAUUUCUCUAUGCGAGUGAGUCGAGAGAAUGAGCUUUUGAUAAUAUAACUACGGAUGAUAAUUGUCAUCAAAGAUGAUAGAAUAUUGCAGUGUAGUUAAAAGAGCUAGAAGGACUCGCUUAAGUGCUGAAGUGCAGCGCAAAGGGAAUCCAUCAUUUUGCCCUCUUCAGGUGUAAUGCUGUUAGUAAGGCGCAUGCAUUUUGUGCUUAAGCAUGUUUAUUGUUUGAAGUGUAGCAUAGAAUAGCGCUUACUUUGUUAGAGUUGGUUUCUUUCCUCAAGGAUAAUGCAGUCUUCUAAAUCCUAUCCACUGUUUCUUUUUUUCUUUUAUUUUUACUUUUUCUAUGUUACUUUUUUACUACAUAACUUGACUUCAUUCCUGCAUCAGUCACUUCUCAUUAUGACUAUGUUUUAUGUCUUUCUUUUUCUUUUUUU